UGCCCAAAGAAUGUGCCUGCAAAUGUCCAGGCUCUGAUAUACUGGGAGGACCUUCAGUCUUCAUCUUUCCCCCAAAACCCAAGGACAUCCUCAAAAUUGGUGGAAUCCCCGAGGUCACAUGUUUUGUGGUGGACCUGGGCCAUGAAGACCCUGAAAUCCAGGUCACCUGGUUCGUGGAUGACCAGGAGGUACACACAGCCAAGACGAAGCUGCCUGAGGAGCAGUCCAACAGCACCUACCGUGUGGUCAGUGUCCUCCCCAUCGUGCACCAGGACUGGCUUGCAGGAAAGAAGUUCAAGUGCAAGGUCAACAGCAAAGCCCUCCCAUCCCCCAUCCAGAGGACCAUCUCCAAGGCUAGAGGGCAGGCCCAUCAGCCCAGUGUGUACGUCCUACCCCCGUCCCCGAAGGAGAUAGCAUCCAAGGACAAAGUCAGCAUGACCUGCCUUGUCAAAGACUUCUACCCAUCUGAGGUUGAUGUCGAGUGGCAGAGUGAAAGAGAGGAAGAGCCGGAGAGCAGUAUCCGAACAACCCCACCCCAGCUGGACGCAGAUGGAACCUACUUCCUCUACACCAAGCUCUCGGUGGACAAGAACCGAUGGCAGCGGGGAGAGGUCUUCAAGUGUGCGGUCAUGCAUGAAGCUCUACACAGCCACCACACACAGCAAUCCAUCUCCCAGUCUCCGGGUAAAUGAGCAACACGCCUGGGAUCCCAGCAAGCCCCCCACCAUGGGCUCUCAGGGUCCCACAAGGACGCCAGAGCCCCCACCCCUGUGUACAUACCUCCUGGGCAGGCACCCCUGCAUGAAAUAAAGCACCCAGCACUGCCCUGGGACCCUGC